ACGGCGUGAUGGGGACAUUUUUGGAUAAGGUCCUUUAAUCUUUCUCAUGCCUCAUGGAACUGUUCACCAUCUUGUUGUGAGAAGCUAGUGAGAGCUCGACUUA
rnacentral:snoRNA from 1 species